UUUGAAGUAGCUCAAUUGGUUAGAGCAUUUGGUUGAAAAUCAAAAAGUUAUAGGUUCAAAUCCUAUCUUCGAAA
rnacentral:tRNA from 1 species